UCCCUGCCCUUUAUUUGGGAGUACACCUCUCCAAAUAUACAGUUAACUGAUGUUUUACUGUUUAUUUGGAGAGGUGUACUCCCAAAUAAAGGGCAUACCCUC
rnacentral:pre_miRNA from 1 species